rnacentral:snRNA from 1 species
AGAUAUGGCUGAGGGAUCUGGCUGUGAUGUCUGUCACUUCAUUGAUUGCCAGAGUUGAGUUGACUAAGCUGGCUGGCCAGGUGGUCCUGUUCUUCCUCCCCCAGCCUUCUUGUCUUCCUCCCUCGAAGUGCUAUACUCUCUAAAGACAAAGACCAUCGGUCAAGGGUAGCUCACACGCUGUAACCUUUAAACAAAUUCUCAAGAUGUGGCUAAGCGGAGUGCAAGACCCAGACAGUCCUGUCUGUCACU